rnacentral:misc_RNA from 1 species
GCCCGACUACUAACCGACCCACGGGGGGACGGUAGGAGACCGGACCGACGGUCGUUCGCACAGAGCGUGGGACGCUUUUUUGUGGUGCUACGAGACCGAGGGCCCCAUAACCACAUGAUUUUCCGUACUCGAGAUACCGAGCGAAUCGUCGUGGUUCAUCGACCCAAAAGCCGUUUCAMGGGAAAACGGGGCGCGAGACACGACGGUCGCUGCUUGGCCCAACCCGCACCGCCGGCCCAUGAAAGGCAGCAGCACGGGACGGGAAUGGGACGAUGGUAGCCGAUAGAAUGCCCUCGCGAUAGGUAUACAACACAGGAAAACCGACGUCGGGCAAGCACUUGCUCGCGCCAACAACUGAAGAGACGCGAACGGAACGUCGUCGCUGCCCGAGCAGGGAUCCGACAUGCCGUUGCGCGCCAACCACCAC